UACGUAGGGUGCAAGCGUUGUCCGGAAUUAUUGGGCGUAAAGAGCUCGUAGGCGGUUUGUCGCGUCUGCUGUGAAAACCCCGAGGCUCAACCUCGGGCCUGCAGUGGGUACGGGCAGACUAGAGGCAUGCAGGGGAGAACGGAAUUCCUGGUGUAGCGGUGAAAUGCGCAGAUAUCAGGAGGAACACCGGUGGCGAAGGCGGUUCUCUGGGCAUGUCCUGACGCUGAGGAGCGAAAGUGUGGGGAGCGAACAGG
rnacentral:rRNA from 1 species